AUUUUAUUUUAUAUAUCUAAAAGAGAGAAGAUAAUAUGCAAAAGUUUUUUAGCCUUUCAAUUUGUAGGAUAAAGAUAUGCAACAUAACCUAAACAGGAGCCCUUUAUUUGUGGAUAUGAUGAAACCACAAUGCGUUUAAAGUUAAAAACGACGAUAAAUUUCUGGAGCUGUACAAUAUAUGAUUAAUUAUAUUUGUGACAAUGAAACCUUCAGGUUCUUUUGCAACCAAGUUGGAACCUGCGGACCUUCAUUCUUCCAUCCAAUGCAAGUGCCAGCACGUCAUAUUCCUCCACAUACCACAGUUCAGAAAUAACUGCCUUAGAUCCGCGAAUCUUAUUGUUUAGGCUCGCAACCAGCUCAUGGAAAAUUUUUAGUUCAUCUGAAGGCUCCAUGGGUGAAGCUUUAGGAUGACCAAGAAGCCUUGCAAAGGAAGUAUGAAGAAUGGCAGCAUCAUAAAGUUGCUUUUCUGGGGCAUGUGGAAGUGCAGAUCUCAAUUUAGCACGAAUGGUCAUGGGAUCAGGUCCAGAGAUCACCUGCCAGCAUCCAAGAAGCACACCAGUCGAAGUCAAAACCACUCUAUCUAAGACAAUUUUUAAAGGACAGAGGCCCUCUACAACAGCUCCAACAGCAGUUGCUUCAACUUCAAUCUCAUCUUCGGUCGCAGGAACAGGUCCAAUAUGAUGUGAAGCAUGAAACAUACUGAAAUGGUAUAAACUAGAGUUCUGAAACCAAAUCGCUUUAUCAAAGUAUGGGCUAAAUAUAUGUUUUACAGCCUCCGAGAUGGGCACUGAGUAUUCUGGGCCUAGAUACAAGACAUUAGCCCGGACAGGAGGGUUUGCUGCCUUAAGUACAGGCAUUAUGGAUCCAUCCUUCAAGGUGAAAAUAUCUGAAAGUGACAAUGACUGAGAUGUCUCUCCAUGUUUGAGGAAAGUUGGUCCAUUCUCAUCCAAAUCCCUUGCCAUUUUAUCAUAUAAUCUUGAUCUUUGUUCCAUAUUUGAAAUAGAAGAAUCUGACGAAGACGAAGACGAAGACGAAGACGAAGAAGAGGGAUAAUUAAGGGAAGAGGAAUUAUUGAGAGCCAGUCGGAACAAAGAGAAAGAAAGGACGAUGCAAAUAGACCAGAUCAGAACCACAGUCUUUGAAUGGCUCCACCAAUUUUUAACCACUCUCGCCAUCUCCAUUAAUUGAAUAAUGACUUCAACCCCCCCCCCCCCCCCCCCGCCGCCACCACCACCAUCCAUGCUAUUAUGCUAAAGCUGUUUGGUAGAUCCAAGAGCAAAUGUCAGUAACUCUCUCUCAUGUCAUUUGCCAAUUCCAAUGGUAGCUUAGCUUACCC
rnacentral:misc_RNA from 1 species